GUAGACGGCCGUCAGUCGUCGGGGAGGCGAGCCGUGGAUCAUAAUCGGCGUUCCCGUCUGAUUCAUGGAUCGGAAAGUUCGCUUUCCGUCUAAUGGCUGCAGACCGGAAUUGAAUGCAGAACCGAGAGUCCUCUCGCCUAGGGCGUGGGUCAUUUGGAAGCUGAGGAAUGCGGGGAUAGAGGGAAGGAGCGCCGGCGGCGAGACACCAUGGAGUUUCUGAUGCAGCCCAUCGGCAGAGGUAGGGAUAGUUUGGUGCCGGCUCCUGCGGCUCUGGGAUGGGGGGUUUUGAGGUGGCACAGCCGGUGGAGCGCGAGGCGGCGCAGCAUCGGAAGGUGGACACUGCCAUAGUGGUGAGGCACAAAUCUUCUUGGGGAAGGAGACGGCGGCGGACAGAAGAGAGAGCUCGCCGCCGACAUCUGAGCUGUCAACGAGGAAAAUGAACCUCCAAGCCCCUGGGUGGAACACGAGGCUGAGGAUUGGUGUUGCUGCACCGAGCAGAACACUCUGCGCAAAUCGUAUAAAUGCGUUCGAGAAGGCAGUCAGGUGUUUUGCAAAAAAAACAGCUGAAAAUGUGACCACACCGGUUCGUGGAAGAUGACAGGAAGCUCAGGGAGCAAGAGAAGCAUUUCAAGGUUGCGAGGAAGUGUCGGGAGGACGCAGAGAGGAACGCGAUGAAACAUUUUGUUGAAAUUUGUUGAUUAUUGGGCAUGUCGAAGAUGGUAGUUGUAUGGGUUGGUGCAGCCACAGAUGAGGAGAUCGCACACGCAUCUCAAGAUGUUGCUGCUAGU